rnacentral:rRNA from 1 species
GACGAACGCUGGCGGCGUGCUUAACACAUGCAAGUCGAACGGAAAGGCCCUGCUUUUGUGGGGUGCUCGAGUGGCGAACGGGUGAGUAACACGUGAGUAACCUGCCCUUGACUUGGGGAUAACUUCAGGAAACUGGGGCUAAUACCGGAUAGGAGCUCCUGCUGCAUGGUGGGGGUUGGAAAGUUUCGGCGGUUGGGGAUGGACUCGCGGCUUAUCCGCUUGUUGGUGGGGUAGUGGCUUACCAAGGCUUUGACGGGUAGCCGGCCUGAGAGGGUGACCGGCCACCUUGGGCCUGAGAUACGGCCCAGACUCCUAUGGGAGGCAGCAGUGGGGAAUCUUGCACAAUGGGCGGACGCCUGAUGAAGAAACGCCGCGUGCGGGAUGACGGCCUUCGGGUUGUAAACCGCUUUGGCCUGUGACGAAGCGUGAGUGACGGUAAUGGGUAAAGAAGCACCGGCUAACUACGUG